ACUUUUUCUUUUUAAAAAAACAUCCUCAAUUUUUUGAACACUUUAAUGUUCAGUUUUUUUCCAUUCAUUCCUUUUCAGUCUUUUUUUCCUUUCUUUGGCUGUUGCCAUCUAUUCAUCUAACUCUGCCGCUCAGCCGUCUCUCUAAUAUCCCCCCCGCAGCCAUGUUUGGGACUCUACAGAGAGAGAAGCAAUCUUAGAUUUAUUUUACCUCCAAUUUCCAAUUUGAGAGCCCCCCGCUGCUGGAGGCGAAUCUUCAGAGGCCGUGAUUGAGUCAAAUUAGCUGGCUUGGCUCUACUGUAUGUGCUUAGUGAUGGACCAGCCGGAGGUUGUCUGGGAGAUGGUCCAGCUCACCACGACGCUAAGACCGGUCACGUCCAUUGGAGCGUCACCUCCAGUCCCCCCCGGUGCCCCCCAGUCCCUCCCAUUCCCCUCCAGUCGGUGGAAUAUGAAAUACUGUGGAUGUCUGAGUUUCCUGCGCUGGCAAGAUGACAAAGGAAUCAAUACGAUGAAGAAUGGACACCAUGGCCAAGGAGAAGGUUUUUCAGAUGGAUGGAUAGCAUCGGCCUACAUCACAUUCAUCAUGACAGUUGGCGAGGGCGGCGGUAGGCAAAAGAAUGAGGAUGUGAUCAGAAGUCUGCGAGGUUUUCCACUCAAGCUUUGUAACUUUUUAAGUUGGAAAGAAAUGAGGCAAACAUCUGAUAUUUGAAGU